UACGAAGGGGGCUAGCGUUGCUCGGAAUCACUGGGCGUAAAGCGCACGUAGGCGGAUCGCUAAGUCAGGGGUGAAAUCCUGGAGCUCAACUCCAGAACUGCCUUUGAUACUGGCGAUCUUGAGUCCGGGAGAGGUGAGUGGAACUGCGAGUGUAGAGGUGAAAUUCGUAGAUAUUCGCAAGAACACCAGUGGCGAAGGCGGCUCACUGGCCCGGUACUGACGCUGAGGUGCGAAAGCG
rnacentral:rRNA from 1 species